UAUUAUUUUAAGCAUUUUACAUUCAGAGAUUCAGAUUAGAUGCUUAUAUGAAGAAAAAAGAACACGAUACAACGAACAAUCAGAUCACGACACGUGAUGUUGAUGCAGACACGUGGCAAGACGAUGAACAGCACAACGAUAUUUACAUGCCAUAUGGGAGGUUGACCGCCACCUUAGCGAUGGUUGCUCCUUGUGUCUCCACUGUACAUCCUGCAAUUACAUACAACCCAAUUCAUAUUAGCACCAACCAUAAUCACAAACAGCUCUUUAAAUUUAAUACAUCAUGAAAUCGGAGCCUAGAUCGAAGAUUUUCGAAAGAUCUAACGGUUCAUAUCCCAUAUAUAGUUCUUCUUUCGAGAAAGAUUCUUUAUUGUCACUAACUAAAUGCACUCGUGUAAUUAUCAAAUCAUAUGGUUCAGAUCUCAAGCUUAAUAAUUUAAAUUUAAUAAUUUGAUUAUAAAUAAAAUUUACUUGAUCCCCAACUUCUUUCUCUAGUAAGAAAAGGAGUGCAAAAUAAGCAAUAUUAAUAUCAUGAUCAUAAUUAUAUACUCAUAUACUCUAUUUAUUUGGGGCAUAUAAGAAAAAAUUUACUUUUUAAUUUUAUAGAAUAUUUAAUGUGUCUGAUCCAUAAAUAUAGAAAAUCUCAUACUAAAGAUCGGAUGGAGUAUAUGCAUGAAAAUAUAAGUGGUUGGAUAAGUAAAUAUGUAGAUCAUACCAAU
rnacentral:lncRNA from 1 species